rnacentral:rRNA from 1 species
AGGUAGUGACAAGAAAUAACAAUACAGGGCUAAUGUCUUGUAAUUGGAAUGAUGGCGACGUAAAAGCUCGCCAGAGUACCAAUUGGAGGGCAAGUCUGGUGCCAGCAGCCGCGGUAAUUCCAGCUCCAAUAGCGUAUAUUAAACUUGUUGCAGUUAAAAAGCUCGUAGUUGAACUUCAGCCGUUGCGCCGUCCGACUUUGGUUGGUGUGUCGCUGUGGCUUAUCCUUUUACUUUGAGAAAAUUAGAGUGUUUCAAGCAGACUUUUGUCUUGAAUACUUCAGCAUGGAAUAAUAGAGUAGGACCUAUGUUCUAUUUUGUUG